AUUGAACGCUAGCGGGAUGCCUUACACAUGCAAGUCGAACGGAGUGGCGAACGGGUGAGUAAUUUAUGGGAACGUGCCCAGUAGCGGGGGAUAACUACGCGAAAGCGUAGCUAAUACCGCAUACUAUUGGAGCGGCCGAUCUUGGAUUAGCUAGUUGGUGGGGUAACGGCUCACCAAGGCGACGAUCCGUAGCUGGUUUGAGAGGACGACCAGCCACACUGGGCUUAAGACACGGCCCAGACUCCUCCGGAAGGCAGCAGUGGGGAAUUUUGGGAAAUGGGGGAAGACCUGAUCCAGCCAUCCCGCGGGGGCGAUGAAGGCCUUCGGGUUGAAAAGCACUUUUGUAAGGAAAGCGGUACCUACAGAGUAAGGACCGGCUAACUACGUGCCAGCAGCCGCGGUAAUUC
rnacentral:rRNA from 1 species